GUCGAGAAUCUUCCGCAAUGGGCGAAAGCCUGACGGAGCAAUGCCGCGUGAGGGAUGAAGGCCUUCGGGUUGUAAACCUCUGUCGCCCGGGACGAAACAAAUGACGGUACCGGGAGAGGAAGCUACGGCUAACUACGUGCCAGCAGCCGCGGUAAUACGUAGGUAGCGAGCGUUAUUCGGAUUUACUGGGCGUAAAGGGUCCGCAGGAGGCCUGCCAAGUCUGAUGUGAAAGCCCAUGGCUCAACUAUGGAACUGCAUCGGAAACUGGCGGGCUCGAGUGCACGAGGGGAAAACGGAAUUCCAGGUGUAGCGGUGGAAUGCGUAGAUAUCUGGAGGAACACCGAUGGCGAAGGCGGUUUUCUGGCGUGCAACUGACUCUCAUGGACGAAAGUGUGGGUAGCAAACAGGAUUAGAAACCCGAGUAGUCC
rnacentral:rRNA from 1 species